ACGACUCUCGGCAACGGAUAUCUCGGCUCUCGCAUCGAUGAAGAACGUAGCGAAAUGCGAUACUUGGUGUGAAUUGCAGAAUCCCGUGAACCAUCGAGUCUUUGAACGCAAGUUGCGCCCGAAGCCAUUAGGUUGAGGGCACGUCUGCCUGGGCGUCACGCAU
rnacentral:rRNA from 3 species